rnacentral:rRNA from 1 species
AUUGAACGCUGGCGGCAGGCCUAACACAUGCAAGUCGAGCGGAUGAAGUGAGCUUGCUCCUGGAUUCAGCGGCGGACGGGUGAGUAAUGCCUAUGAAUCUGCCUGGUAGUGGGGGAUAACGUCCGGAAACGGGCGCUAAUACCGCAUACGUCCUGAGGGAGAAAGUGGGGGAUCUUCGGACCUCACGCUAUCAGAUGAGCCUAGGUCGGAUUAGCUAGUUGGUGGGGUAAAGGCCUACCAAGGCGACGAUCCGUAACUGGUCUGAGAGGAUGAUCAGUCACACUGGAACUGAGACACGGUCCAGACUCCUACGGGAGGCAGCAGUGGGGAAUAUUGGACAAUGGGCGAAAGCCUGAUCCAGCCAUGCCGCGUGUGUGAAGAAGGUCUUCGGAUUGUAAAGCACUUUAAGUUGGGAGGAAGGGCAGUAAGUUAAUACCUUGCUGUUUUGACGGUACCAACAGAAUAAGCACCGGCUAACUUCGUG